GAGUUUGAUCGUGGCUCAGAUUGAACGCUGGCGGCAUGCCUUACACAUGCAAGUCGAACGGCAGCACGGGAGCUUGCUCCUGGUGGCGAGUGGCGAACGGGUGAGUAAUGCAUCGGAACGUAUCCUGGAGUGGGGGAUAACGUAGCGAAAGUUACGCUAAUACCGCAUAUUCUGUGAGCAGGAAAGCGGGGGACCUUCGGGCCUCGCGCUCUUGGAGCGGCCGAUGUCGGAUUAGCUAGUUGGUGAGGUAAAGGCUCACCAAGGCGACGAUCCGUAGCAGGUCUGAGAGGAUGAUCUGCCACACUGGAACUGAGACACGGUCCAGACUCCUACGGGAGGCAGCAGUGGGAAUUUUGGACAAUGGGGGCAACCCUGAUCCAGCCAUGCCGCGUGAGUGAAGAAGGCCUUCGGUCGUAAGAC
rnacentral:rRNA from 1 species